UACGGAGGGUGCAAGCGUUAAUCGGAAUUACUGGGCGUAAAGCGCACGCAGGUGGCUGAGUCAGUCGAUUGUGAAAGCCCUGGGCUUAACCUGGGAAUUGCAGUCGAUACUACUCAGCUAGAGUAUGGGAGAGGGCAGUGGAAUUCCCGGUGUAGCGGUGAAAUGCGUAGAUAUCAGGAGGAACAUCAGUGGCGAAGGCGGCUGCCUGGCCCAAUACUGACACUCAUGUGCGAAAGCGUGGGGAGCAAACAGG
rnacentral:rRNA from 1 species